CAAUAACAUUUGAUUUGAUUUGUAAUGCCUGACAGUCGAUGGUGUGGUGCAAAACCACUGGUACAACGUGAUGGUGCCGGAGGGGAAGGCUGCCAUCAUAUUGGCUCUUAACCAACCAUGCUAUUUUGUUUGUUUUUUCGCGUUGUUCGUAACUUGUUUUGUACAUAAUGUUGCUGCUACCGUCUCUUAUGACCGAAAAGAGCUUCUGGACAUCAGAACUGCGAUUACUCACCUCAGAUUAGACUAGGAGUUUUUCUUCAAUGAGUCGGACGAGAGGGAUAUACCACUACAGACACCAGAUCAGGCCCAGAUCCACGUCAUUCGCUGAAGGAAACAGAGGUUUCGCGGAAAAAGAUGAGGGUGCCUUGUGAGGAUCAGGCGAUGAGUGGCUAAUCUGCCUUUGCCUUCCGUCCUGCUAGCUAACGUUCAAUCGCUGGAAAAUAAAUGGGACGAACUGAAAGCAUGUAUAUCCUACCAACGGGACAUUAAAAACGGUCAUAUUUUAUAAUUCACCAAGUCGUGGCUGCACGUCGACAUUAAGAACGUACAGCUGGCGGGUUAUACACUAUCUGCAGGACAGAACAGCCAACUGUGAUAAAAUAUCUGGGAAAAACAAGCAACAUCAUUCUGACUUAUCUCCACCAUAGAGCAACAACCUGGGGAAUAGUUACAUGGGAUGAAUGAGACAAUUGUAAGCUGAAACCACCCCAUUCAUCGUAUGAGGACCAGAUUGGGAAUUUAGCCAGGGCACCAGGGUUAACAGCCCUACUCUUACAGACCUGAGCCCUGGACCAUGCCUCAGGACUACCUGGCCUGAUGACUCCUUGCUGUCCCCAUUCCACCUGGUCGUGCUGCUGCUCCAGUUUCAACUGUUCUGCCUGCGGCUAUGGAACCCUGACCUGUUCACUGGACGUGCUACCUGUCCCAGACCUGCUGUUUUCAACUCUCUAGAGACAGCAGGAGUGGCAGAGAUACUCUGAAUGAUCGGCUAUGAAAAGCCAACUGACAUUUACUCCUGAGGUGCUGACCUUUUGCACCCUCGACAACCACUGUGAUUAUUAUUAUUUGACCUUGCUGGUCAUAUAUGAACAUUUGAACAUCUUGGCCAUGUUCUGUUAUCUCCAUCCGGCACAGCCAGAAGAGGACUGGCCACCCCUCAUAGCCUGGUCCCUCUGGGUUUCUUCCUAGGUUCUGGCCUUUCUAGGGAGUUUUUCCUAACCACCUUACUUCUACACCUGCAUUGCUUGCGGUUUGGGGUUUUAGGCUGGGUUUCGUACAGCACUUUGUGACAUCAGCUGAUGUACGAAGGGCUUUAUAAAUACAUUUGGCAAAUAAGUCGGGCUGCACAACCGAUUGGCAAAUUGUUGUAGUGAUUCCGUAUGUUGUUGGUGUAAAGAAUAUUUGUUGGUCCGUGGCGUGUACAGACACUUGACACAUUUAUGAAAUUGCUUAUUCCAGUUACUAACAAGAAAAGUUAAAUCCCGUGGAUUGAUGAGGAAUUGAACAAUUGUACGGCUGAGCGGGACAAAGCAAAAGGAAUGGCACAUAAGUCGGGCUGCACAACCGAUUGGCAAACGUACUGCAAAUUGAGAAAUCAUGUGAAUAAAAUAAAUAAAGGAAGAAAAAACAACACUAUGAAACAGAUAAAUGACAAAGAAUGAUAGUAAAAAGCUUUGGAGCACCUUAAAUUCUGGGAAAAAAGGCAGACUCAGCACCAUCACUCAUUGAAUCAGAUGGCUCAUUACAGAACCGGCUGAUUUUGCUAACUACUUAAAUUUUUCAUUGGCAAGAUUUGCAAACUUAGGCAUGACAUGCCAGCAACAAAUGCUGAUACUACACAUCCAAGUAUAUCUGACCAAAUUAUGAAAGACAAGAAUUGUAAUUUUGAAUUCGUGGAGUGAGCGUGGAAGAGGUGAAAAAAUGAUUGUCUAUCAACAAUAACAAGCCACAGGGCAAGUUGGAUGGAAAGGAUAAUAGUGGACGAUAUUGCCAUUCCUAUUUGCCAUAUCUUCAAUUUAAGACUACUGGAAUGUGUGCCCCCAAGCCUGGAGGGAAGCAAAAGUCAUUCCGCUACCUAAGAAUAGUAAAGCCCCCAUUUACUGGCGCAAAUAGCCAACCAAUCAGCCUGUUACAACCCUUACUAAACUUUUGUGGGAAAAAAACUUGUAUUUAUCCAGAUACAAUGCUAUUUUACAGUAAAAAAGUUAACACACUUUCAGCACACUUAAAGGGAAGGACAUUCAACAAGUAUAACAAUUACACAAAUUAUUGGCUGAGAGAAAUUGAUGAUAAAAAGAUUGUGAUAGCUGUUUUGUUGGACUUCAGCUCGGCUUUCGACAUUAUCG
rnacentral:lncRNA from 1 species